CAGCAGCCGCGGUAAUACGGGGGGGACUAGCGUUGUUCGGAUUUACUGGGCGUAAAGGGCGUGUAGGCGGGCUUAUAAGUCGGAUGUGAAAACUGGUGGCUCAACUGCCAGCCUGCAUCCGAUACUGUAGGUCUUGAGUACGGGAGAGGAGAGCGGAAUUCCAGGUGUAGCGGUGAAAUGCGUAGAUAUCUGGAAGAACACCCGUAGCGAAGGCGGCUCUCUGGCCCGAUACUGACGCUAAGGCGCGAAGGCUUGGGUAGCAAACAGGAUUAGAUACCCUGGUAGUCCAAGCGGUAAACGAUGGGCACUAGGUGUCGGGGGUAUCGAUCCCCUCGGUGCCGCAGCUAACGCAUUAAGUGCCCCGCCUGGGGAGUACGGUCGCAAGAUUGAAACUCAAAGGAAUUGACGGGACCCCGCACAAGCGGUGGAGUAUGUGGUUUAAUUCGAAGCAACGCGCAGAACCUUACCUGGGUUUGACAUGCUUGAGACAGCCGAUGAAAGUCGGUCUUCCCUUCGGGGACUCUUGCACAGGUGCUGCAUGGCUGUCGUCAGCUCGUGCCGUGAGGUGUUGGGUUAAGUCCCGCAACGAGCGCAACCCUUAUCCUUAGUUGCCAUCAGGUUAUGCUGGGAACUCUAAGGAGACUGCCGGUGAUAAACCGGAGGAAGGUGGGGAUGACGUCAAGUCCUCAUGGCCCUUACAUCCCGGGCUACACACGUGCUACAAUGGCAGGUACAAAGGGCUACAAUACCGCGAGGUGGAGCGAAUCCCAGAAAACCUGUCUCAGUUCGGAUUGCAGUCUGCAACUCGACUGCAUGAAGGCGGAAUCGCUAGUAAGCGCGGAUCAGCAGGCCGCGCUGAAUACGUUCCCGGGCCUUGUACACACCGCCCGUCAAGCGAUGGAAGCUGGGGGUACCCGAAGUCGGUGACCUAACCUUAGGGAUGGAGCCGCCGAAGGUAAAACCAGUGACUGGCGCUAAGUCGUAACAAGGUAGCCGUA
rnacentral:rRNA from 1 species